AGUGCAGUGACACAGGCUGGCGAUAUUACCACGGAGCACGAACUUCUUAUGAGACAGACAGAGAAAACCUUUUCAGAACCAUGGCAAGCCAAGAAGAAGCAAAGAGAAUGUAUGUGCCAGACAUGGCUUGCAAACUCCCAAUAUGAGCACCUGCUGUUGACAUUUGGAGAUCCACCCUAAAGACAAGUGCGAAGCCAUGAGGAAUAAACUGACAUAGGAACCCUGUUUUGUUAAUAUUUUUUAAAAUGAUAUAUCUGACUAACUACAUCUGCUUCUCACCAAGGUUUCGAAAAUGGUUUACAAACACAGGAGUCAUUUUUUAACAGGGUUAUAGUGAAACAAUUGGGACUGGAUCAUGAUCAUUCUCAAGCUUGAAAUGAUUGACGUAGAGAGCCUGAGAGAUAUGGAACUGUCUAAGGAGUGAUAUGUUUAAUUGAAUAUACAUAUUUAGAAUGUUGUGUAAAGAUACAGGUGUGUAUACACACACACACAUGCAGGUUUGGAACCUCACCUUUGAGAUUUCACUGUUUCCCAUUGGACUUUAUACCAUAGCAAAUGUGUGAAUGUGAAAAUUUCUCCUCCUUCUCUUAGUAUCUUAGCAAGAAUUUCUACUUCAGUGCUUUCCGGAAUGAUUCCUUCAGGUGUAAACUUACGAUUUUUAGAGUUUUUCGAAAUCAAACAUCUAAGAAAUGUAGCAUCUGAACAAUGGAAGUUUUUCAGUGGAAGUAUUGUUUGGACUUUUUUUUUCCAGGAUUUUUGUUUCUUACCAUGCAAAGUGUUCCUCAAAACAACUGAAAUGCAACAGAUAAGGGGUGUGUAGAUCAUUCCAAAAUACUAAGAAACCUGAGCUUCAUGUCUAAGAGUUUCCAUAAACUUGGUGGUGUUUAUGAGCCUAGGAAGCUGUGCUGGCUGAGUUGUACACCUGUUGAAAUAAGGACAUUGGCUCCCCACAAGAGUCUCUUGAUUUAGAAAAUAACAGUUCAUGUUAUCAUCCACUGUAAAGUAAACGAUACUGUGACAUUUUACACUUGAUUUUGGAAGCCCAUGAGGAUAACAGCACUCAGCUGUUUACAAUGACUGUUUUCUCCUCAAAUGUAUCCAGAGGUUUGCUUUGAACCAUAGGAAGCUAUUAACAAUUUUGGAACAAUUUUGGCCAAAACUUUUCUCUGGAUCUUAUUUUUUUUUCUUUUAAGAUUUAUUUUCUUUUUAAUACUGUGAGGCUGGGGGAGGGAACAUAGGCUUAUGGGUGCAGGUGCCCACAGAAGCUAGAAGGUUUCUGAUACCCUGGAGCUAGAGUCACAGCUGGCUGUGAAGUGUCCCACACCAGUGCUCAGAACCAAGUUCACAGCUGGCCUCAUUCCUCCUUUUAACACAAAAUGAUCUAAGAACCUCGAUAUGUUAGGAGUGUCUCAGACACAAGAGGGAAGAUGCCCAAUGACACGAGGGAAACACAAAUUUACCGAAGCAACCAAAUUGUCUCACAACAACUAUCUGUGUCUCUCUGUGACUCUCUAUGUCUCUCUGUGUCUGUCUAUGUCUCUCUGUCUCCUCUGUGUGUCUGUCUGUCUGCCUGUGUGUGUGUGUAUUCCUCUCUCCAUCUCUGUCUCUGUCUCUCUGUUUCUGUCUGUCUCUCUCUCUGUUGCUUUCUUUUCUCUCUCUCUCCAUCUCCAACUCCAUCUCUGUCUCUCUAUCUCUGUGUCUGCUCUCUCUGUUUGUCUCUCCAUCUUCAUCUCUGUCUCUUUGUGUGUCUGUCUGUGUUUGUGUGUGCGUGAGUGUGUAUGUAUGUGUGCAUGUAUGUAUACCUGUAGGCUUUGGAUGGUUAGGAUAGUGUCUUAUAUUCAAGUGCUUUCUCCACUGUAUCUUUAGGAAUGGUUCUUUCAUUGAACCAAGAAGAUACCAGCAAACCCCAAGAAUCUUCCUGUCUCUGUUUUCCCAGUGCUAGAUUGUAGAUGUGUCUGUGGGUUUUAUUCAUGUUAGAGUUUCAAAUUCUGGUCCUCUUGUUUUUACAGAACCAGUUUGUCAACUGAACUUUACCCUUAGCUCAUCGCUGCUAAGGCCAACAUAAUGGAGGUCAGAACUUAUUGUUCUUACGUCUACAAAAGCUAACCAUUUAUUUCCCCUUUUUGUUCUUAAAAAAAAAAAAAAAAGACACAUAUAAAUCAAUCAAAAGCCAAUAGCUGGGGGAAAAAAAAACUACUGGUAAUGUGGAAUAUAAUUGCAACCAGUUCAAGUGAUGAUUAAAAAAUAAAUGUGCUCCUAGCAUCCUCUCAACGGCUGUGUCCCCCACAGUCCAGUGCUUGCGGCUCGCCAUCAUCCUCCAGUCUAUUCUUGGUUGUGGAUUCCCCUGUGCUCCUUGUGCACUUUAAGUUUAAUUUUGCAUUUAAAAACUCAAUUGGCUCAUCUGUUAAGCAUUAAGCAGCUCCCUUUUGAGCCACAGGGGGAGCCCUGGGAAAACCCACAGCUGCUAGAACAUGGAAAAUGGGUUUAAAAAAACAAAACCAUUUUGGAACUUUAAAGCAUUUUAGCAGCCGUGAAUUUCCCAGUUCUUACCCCCCAAAUGGUUCAUCUGUUUAACUUUUAUCUGGUAUUAGAAAGCACAAACCAGCACAUUGAAUAGCCCUCAAAUGAGUUUUUGCUUAGUACAAAAUGAAAGUAAAAGCUAAAGGCAGCCCUGUGGGAAGAUCUUUCAGAGAGCUAUGGACUGAAAUACCUUCAAGCAUAUUCUCCCUCCUGUCACAGACACCAUUCUGAAGCUCAGUCAUGCCUUCUGACAGCUAACUUUUCUUCUACUCACUUAGGCACCCACCCCCACCCAGUCCCCCUCCCCCAAAAAGAAAAACUCUAAAUCAAACAGCAAAUCCCAGAGUAUAAAUGACAAUAACAAUGCUGCAAAGUUAAUAGGCUGAGUGUAUUAAUGAAAAGCUCAAUCAGGAUUUUCAGUUUUGCAAUGAAUAGUCACUGACUGAAAAAUUGAUGUUUUCUUACAGCUGGAUAGACUCUAGAUAAAGGCAAGUUCUUCUUUUUGUAUGUAGCCCCCAAAUCUUUCCUAAGCAGCCCAAAGAAAGCCUCACUGACUUACAGCUCAAAGUGUCCUUGUUAAAGGCCAUUUUAUUUGCAUCAUGGCAUGAUACUCCUUUUGAAAUAAAAGGAUCUUUUCGUGGA